UACGUAGGGGGCAAGCGUUGUCCGGAAUCAUUGGGCGUAAAGCGCGUGUAGGCGGCCCGGUAAGUCCGCUGUGAAAGUCGGGGGCUCAACCCUCGGAUGCCGGUGGAUACUGUCGGGCUAGAGUGCGGGAGAGGCGAGUGGAAUUCCUGGUGUAGCGGUGAAAUGCGCAGAUAUCGGGAGGAACACCAAUUGCGAAGGCAGCUCGCUGGGACGUUACUGACGCUGAGGCGGCGAAAGCUAGGGGAGCGAACGGG
rnacentral:rRNA from 1 species